UUCCUAAGAUUCACCCAUGCAUGUUUUUGACAUUUGAAAAAUGGACUGCUCAGUAAUACUCACUUUAUUUUAUGUAAAUUUUUAAUUAACUACGUUAAAGUGUAGAUAAGAUGUUUACAGUAAGAGUGAGACCUAUCAGCUAGUUGUUAAGGUAAUGGCUUAACAAGGCUGUGACGGGUAACGGUAUUACUUUGUAAUAUUCCGGAGAAGGAGCCUGAGAGACGGCUACUAAGUCUAAGGAUUGCAGCAGGGGCGAAACUUGACCUAUGGAUUUUAUYUGAGGCAGUUAUGGGAAGUAAUAUUAUAUUGUUUCAUAUUUUAAAAGUAUAUGAGGUGAUUAAUUGGAGGGCAAAUCAAGUGCCAGCAGCCGCGGUAAUACUUGUUCCAAGAGUGUGUAUGAUGAUUGAUGCAGUUAAAAAGUCCGUAGUUUAUUUUUUUAAAAAGCAAUAUAAGGGGUACGGAUGGUUGGGGAGGGAGA
rnacentral:rRNA from 1 species